rnacentral:tRNA from 1 species
UGCCCCGUAGCACAAUUGGUAGUUGCGACCGGCUCUGACCCGGUAGGUUUCUGGUUCGAAUUCCAGGCGGGGCAGC